CAGGGGAUAGUUUAUUUAAAAUGUUAACUUUGGAGGUUAGUGAUAAGAUUAUUCUUUUCCCUGA
rnacentral:tRNA from 1 species